UUGGAACAGUACAGCCUUGUCCUGAACACUGAUGAGAUUUGUUUCUUAAGAAAAAAGCUUCCCUUGCAGAAUACCUGACUUCACGAGACACAGCUUGGCAGAUCAAAGUCUGAGCCCUUUGCUCUCCCCUCAUAUACAUCACACUUCAGAGCACAAAGAUAAUUCCUCCUCCCACACACAGCAAAGAUGUAAGAACUGCAGUGACCGGAACACCCACCUCCUCCAGUCCCCCGUGGGCAUACAGCACACUUGCUUCCAGAGGGAAGGCCGGCCCUCCUCGGCCCUCCGCUCCACCCCCUAGACUGCUGCUGGCAAUACGCGCGGCCACAGCCGCUGGGAGACACCUGUGGCUCCACUCCCCUCCUCCAGGGCAUCUGUCACCAAUCUCUGCAGACCAGCACCCUCUCACGGGCGCAGGACCAGCCUGGCACAAACCUUUGGCUGCCAUCAGGGCUGAACACGCACUCCCCAGAAAGAGGCCAGGAGCACAGAGGGAGGCCGUCUCCAUCCCUCUCUGUCCUCUGUGUUCCUGAGAUAGGUGUGAGUCACACCCUGCAGGCUCCCCUUCCUUGAGAACUCACGAACAGGGGGAUCCCAGCCACGGGUCACGCUGUGGGUUUUAACCCGGAAAGAACAAGACACCACACACCUGCCUCACUUCCCCAGGAUGCGUCCUAGGUCUCCUAAACUCCCAGUCCAGGGUGUCCUGGGGCACCCUGGUGCAGACCUGGGGGCUUACUCCUCACCACCACCCUCUCCAUGAUGAGGCCUGGGCCCCCCUCCCCACCGGGCUAGCGUUCAGAUAGACCCUGCAGGACGGUGUACUAAUGCUCAGGGCGGGGGCCCAGUGCUCCCUCACAGCUUCCCCCUGCAGCAGAGAACAAAGUCCCACCCAGUGGCUUCUCGGAGAUCCACAGCCGGC
rnacentral:lncRNA from 1 species